rfam:Ictidomys tridecemlineatus contig067790, whole genome shotgun sequence.
GCUGGGGUUGCAAAGUGGUAGAGCACUUGCCUUGAAUACAUGAGGCCCUGAGUUCAAUCCUCAGCACCACA